CCAGUUUCGGAGUAAAACAUAACUUUUACUUCAAAAUUCUUUUUUAACCUCUUCUUCGAAACAAACGGGGCAAAAAUCUCCUUCUGUUUCACGGUCUUCUACAUGAUGAUUGCAAUCUUUUCGAACUGGGCGCCUGAGACAACCGCUCCUCUGAAAUAAAAAUCCCACCUUUACCCCUUCUCUCGGACCGUCUUUGAAUACUAGCGUUCCCUGCCGCUUCUUCUCCACGAGCCAAGUAACUCCCUCUCUGGCGAAUCAUCUUCUACCUCCUCCCAACACCCCUUUGGCUUCCAGUAGCACCCCUCCGGCGAUCUUUCCUUUCA
rnacentral:lncRNA from 1 species